rnacentral:lncRNA from 1 species
CAGAACGGGAAUUGGAUCACAGAACACCACUUGCUCCAAAACAUGGUACGAUAGGGAUAGCCUUUAGGGUGCGUUUGGUUCGCGCUAUCUUUUUAAGAUUUCUAGUAAUCCAAUAAGAAUAAAAAAAAUAUGACGGUAUUUGGCUAAACGCACUAAGUAAUCUAGUUGAUAAUACUAGAUUUAUUUGGGAAUGAGAUGCAUCCCAAAGUACUAAUCUCAUUCGUUUGAGGGAGGGUGGGUAUCCGUAUAUUAAUAGAUUAGAAUAAGUAUAAUAUGUCUAAUCUUUUUUUUUCUUCCCACCCGCCGGCUAGUUGGUAUUAUUUUUCUUUACACUCUAACCUCAUAUCUUUCUCUAAACUUUUUUUUUUUCUAAACUUUAAUUCUUUUUCUCUCUCUAAAUUAAGCUAUUUCUCCCUCACUUUUUUUAAAAUCUCAACCCUCUCAUUCUCUCUAAAUAACAUGACUAAAUAGUAUGAUCGUACGAACCAAACACCGAAAUACUACAUUCUUAGUAAUAGGAUAAAUAGGAAUAAGAUCGGAUAUCUUUUUACUCCUAGUAAUCUUUCAUAGUGCGAACCAAACGCACCCUUAUUGCCAAGUUUUAUAGGAAUUGAAAACAUUCACUUGAAACAAAAUGUAAAUAAAUAAAACAUAUAUACAUAUAUGAUUCCGCUAUAGAGUAAAUAGGUUAGAAUUAGGAUAACUUGUUUUGCCAUUCCAAUUCAGUAAUGAUCCACAAAUCAGAUCAUAUGUUCCAAUUUUUGCAAUUCAAAGGAAAUUUUAUGGAUUAGCUAAUCACAGUGUCAUCUCUUUCUUCUUUGGCAAAAAAUAAGGUAAGGUCCUUUCAUAAAUCGCAACCUUCUACUUUUAACUUUGACAAUCA